rnacentral:rRNA from 1 species
CAAAAACAUCGCCUUUUGAAUUAUAUAAAAGGUAACGCCUGCCCAGUGACAUCAUGUUCAACGGCCGCGGUAUUCUGACCGUGCGAAGGUAGCGUAAUCACUUGUCUUUUAAAUAAAGACUAGUAUGAAUGGCACUACGAGGAUUUAGCUGUCUCCUUAAGCUCAUCAGUGAAACUGAUCUCCCCGUGCAAAAGCGGGGAUAAAUUCAUAAGACGAGAAGACCCUAUGGAGCUUAAAACUAAUAGCCGCCUAUGCUAUCUGCUAACAUAAAUAGCACUAUGACAAUAAACCCGGCCUACGUUUUCAGUUGGGGUGACUAUGGAGAAAAACCCAUCCUCCAUGAAGAAACAAGCCCUGAGUUACCACUCUACGCAUUAGCAAGCCUGACUUUACUUGAUCCAAUCUCUUUGAUCAACGGACCAAGUUACCCUAGGGAUAACAGCGCAAUCCAUUUCAAGAGUCCUUAUCGACAAAUGGGUUUACGACCUCGAUGUUGGAUUAGGACACCCUAGUGGUGCAGCCGCUACUAACGGUUCGUUUGUUCAACGAUUAAAGUCCUACGUGA